rnacentral:rRNA from 1 species
CCUACGGGAGGCAGCAGUGAGGAAUAUUGGUCAAUGGACGAGAGUCUGAACCAGCCAAGUAGCGUGAAGGAUGACUGCCCUAUGGGUUGUAAACUUCUUUUAUAAAGGAAUAAAACGAGGCACGUGUGCCUUUUUGCAUGUACUGUAUGAAUAAGGAUCGGCUAACUCCGUGCCAGCAGCCGCGGUAAUACGGAGGAUCCGAGCGUUAUCCGGAUUUAUUGGGUUUAAAGGGAGCGUAGAUGGGUUGUUAAGUCAGUUGUGAAAGUUUGCGGCUCAACCGUAAAAUUGCAAUUGAUACUGGAAGUCUUGAGUACAGUUGAGGUAGGCGGAAUUCGUGGUGUAGCGGUGAAAUGCUUAGAUAUCACGAAGAACCCCGAUUGCGAAGGCAGCUUACUAAACUGUGACUGACAUUGAUGCUCGAAAGUGUGGGUAUCAAACAGGAUUAGAUACCCCUGUAGUC